GGAAUAUUGGUCAAUGGGUGAGAGCCUGAACCAGCCAUGCCGCGUGCAGGAAGAAGGCCUUCUGGGUUGUCAACUGCCUUUGCCAGGGGAUAAAAUUUCCUUGCGAGGAACAUUGAAGGUACCUGGUGAAUAAGCCACGGCUAACUACGUGCCAGCAGCCGCGGUAAUACGUAGGUGGCAAGCGUUGUCCGGAUUUAUUGGGUUUAAAGGGUGCGUAGGCGGUUUUGUAAGUCAGUGGUGAAAUAUAGCAGCUUAACUGUUAGGGUGCCAUUGAUACUGCAGAACUUGAGUACAGAUGAGGUAGGCGGAAUUGACGGUGUAGCGGUGAAAUGCUUAGAUAUCGUCAAGAACACCUAUAGCGAAGGCAGCUUACUAGGCUGUAACUGACGCUGAGGCACGAAAGUGUGGGGAUCAAAC
rnacentral:rRNA from 1 species